rnacentral:lncRNA from 1 species
UUCUAACAUGCCUAAUUCCCUAAGACUUGAAUUUCUUCUUUUUUAUGGUACUAAGAAAUUUCUGGCGUUUUGAUUUUAUUAGCUUAAACCACCAUGAAGUCUAAGAGUCAAUCAGCCAUCAGACUAUACAUUCAAUUCUAAAUUUUUGGUAACUGUAUCCAUAUCAAUAAUCAUCACAUCAAAGCAUUGGUCUAGUACCUAGUAUCUUCAAAAUCCAUUUCUCACACAUACUCUCCGGUUUUUGGCUAUUAUAAGUAUUUGCAUAAAAUCAUUUAACUCCUUUUGUUUGUAAGCCUUUUCCUCUGAGACUUGACAUUGCAAUUGUUCCCUAGGACAUGCAGAGAUCUGAUUUGGCUAUAAAUGUGGAAGCAAUAAUAGCAAGGGUGCUACAAGAGAAGAACUGACAUUUCUUUGAAAGGAAAUUGCCUCAGAAAAUGCUUAUAUGGUCUUCAAAGAAAUCAAGGUCAACGUCAUCAGGCAAGAGAGGAGCUGCUUCUGCUGGCAAAGAGACUUGGUGAGGUUUGAGGUUCAUGGUAUACAGAUUUAUCCCAGUCCUCUUAAAUGACUUCAUUUCAAUGAUGGGGGUCUUUUUCUCAGUCGAUGUUUUCAAUUUUGUGAAAAAUAAAUGGAAAAACUGUAAAUUCAACCUACCUUAUAAUACAGCAACCUGCAGCAUCAGAUUUUCCAUCUGAUUUCCAUCUAAAUUAGUCUUGAGGCUACAAAAGAUGAGAGAUUCUUUAAGGACAGCUACAAAAAUUCCAUGAUUCUCAGAUGGCUUCUAGAGCUAAGAAUUUAAAAUAUUGAACCUGUCUCUCUCUCUUUUCUUCCUCAUCUAUAGCAUAUGGAAGUUCCAGGGAUAGAAUCUGAGCCAUAGCUAUGACCUACACUAAGCUGCAGCAAGACCAGAUCCUUAACUCACUCCAAACACGUGGUGCCACAGAGACAACACCUCAUCCUUAACCCACUAUACCUAGCAGGAACUCCGAGCCUUUCUUUCUUUUAGUUUACCUGCCAUCCCACUCCCAAGUCCUUUUCUUCCUCAUGUCCCCCACAGUGAUCUAUCACAGCAUUGACCAGAGACCACAACUUAAGUAAUUGCUCAUUCUGGGAUGCAAUUGCCUUUAAACAAAAUCAAGUCCAUUUCUUUGAUGUUUUAUUGGUGAGAACCACUUCUGGUACUAAUUACUUUAUGGGUCAGAUUUCAGUUGCACACAACAGAAUCCACUUGAACUGUUUAAGCGAAAUGUUUUUAUAUAGGGAACUAUGUGCUUUCAUAAAUUUUAAAAAUCUAGAGAAGCAGCUUCCAGGCUAAUCUCCCAGGACUAAAUCCUAGCUCUUAGAAUAACUCUGCCUCUGCCAUGGAUAGAGAAAUUGAUCAUCACCACUGCAGAAGGUAACAAAUCAGGAAUCCAUUUUGUACUAGUAAUCACUACAAAGCCAUACUAACUCUGACCUGACUAGGGGCAUUGCUGCCACACUGUGAAAGAAAACAGCUGUUUAUCAGGAAACUACCUGUCAUGUUAGAAGUUCACUGUUUCAUAUGCUGGUCCAGAACCAUGUCACCUCUCCUACAACUUGUGCCUCCACACUCUACCACUCUGGCCUAUGUUAACUUUUUAAUCAAAGUCUCAUGAAGCAGCAUCUGACUGAUAAAACAUGAAUCAUAUCUAAAAUUUUGACUUCUGGAGAUCUGGGGACAUAGCGUACUAGGAGGGACUUAAGGUGGAUGUUAAGUUAGCCGUUAUCACUUACAGUUUCUCUUUUCACUGUAUAUCAGAGAAACUCCAAAAUCACUCUGAUAGGCCUAGAAAAGUCACCACAUUUUGCCUUAUUUUUUUCUGCCCCAUGAAUAGUGAGAAGACCAAAUUUACAAAGAGCCGUAGUUAGAAUCAAUGAUCCACAUUCACAAACUAUAAUACAAUGCAAACUAUAAUGACAUGUCAACAAAAAUUCAAGGGCCUAUUUCAACAGCUUAAUAGAGACAUAAUUGAUGUGCCACAUGUUUGUGUCUGUGUGUGUAUAAAUAUAUGUGAGAUAUAUAUGUAACAUAUAUAUAUUUAAAUAUACAAAAAAGCCAAAUAUUUCUUCAAAGAAGACAUACAGAUAGCCAACAGAUAUGAGAAGAAGCUCAACAUUGCUAAUUAUUAGUAAAGUGCAAGUCAAAACUAUAAUGAGGUAUCAUCUCAUGCUGGUCAGAAUGGCUAUCAUCAAAAAGCUUACAAAUAUAUUCUAGAGAAGAUAUAGAGAAGGGAACUUUCCUACGUUAUUAGUGUAGCCACUAUGGAAAGCAGUAUAGAGGUUCCUUUAAAAAACCAAAAAUUGAGGUACCAUAUGAUUGAACCAUUCCACUCCUGGGCAUAUAUCCAGGAAAGAUGAAAACUCUAAUCCAAAAAGAUUCAUGCACCACAAUGUUCAUAGCAGCACUAUUUACAACAGCCAAGAUACAGAAGCAAAGUGUCCAUCCAUAGAUGAAUGUGUAAAGAAAAUGUGGUAUAUACAUAUAUAAAAUAAUAUACACUAUAAUAUUACUAGGCCAUAAAAAAUAAUGAAAUCUUGCCAUUUGCAGUAACAUGGAUAGACCUAGACAUCAUACUAAGUGAAAUACAUCUGACAAACUCUGAUAUCACUUACAUGUGGAAUCUAAAAAAUGCUACAAAUGAACUUAUUUACAAAAGAGAAAUAGACCCACAGACAUAGAAAACAAAUUUAUGGUUAAAAAGGGGAAAGGGGUGAGUGAGGGAUAAAAUUAGGAUGCCGGUAGCCUUUGAUACCCUAAUGGGUCCAUCUUUGUGGACUUCUCCACUGUUAUUUUCUUCCUCUUCUUCUGACACUCUCUUUGCAGGUCACUGCACUGGAGCCAUACUAACUAUACUACUAUACUUCUGUUCUUCAAAUACUCAAGUUCAUCCCAAAUUAGGACUGGGACAGUGGCCUGGAAAACUCUCUCUUCUUGGCUUCUUCUGUUCAGUUUUUUUUUUUAUAAAUAAAAUUCCACUCCUUAGAAAAGCCUUUCUUGACUACACUAGCUAAAGAUACACCUCUCUCUCCUUUAGGUAUUACCAUAUCUACCUACUUUGUUUCCUUCAAGCACAUGUUACUGUGUAAUUACAAACCUGGUUACUUAUUUGUUGGACCUCCUCUUGAGAAUGUUAGUUCCAUAAAAGCAGAUGCCUUAAAUGUUUUAUUCACUACUAUAUCCCAGGACUUAGAAUUAUAUAUUAUACAUAGAAAACACCCAAUAAAAAGGUAUUGAAUGAAUUGUACAAUGAUAUAUGUAUGUUUGUGUCUGUGAGCCAGUGUUAUCUAUAAAGCUGAAAAUAAUUUAAAAUCCAUCAAUGGAGAAUUAAAGUAUUUUUGAAGUAGCCAUACUCUGGAACACUUAGCAACCACUAGUAAUGAUAACACAAAUCUAUAUUUAUUGAUACAAAAUAACAACUACAAUAUAUUAAUGAAUGAAAAAAGAUUAUUUUGUUUGAUCUAAUUUCAGUUAAUAUGCUUGUGUUUGUGACUGUAUAGUUAGAUGCCUGGUAAGAUUAUUCUCCAAAAUAUUAGCAAUUGUUGUCACAUACCAUUGACCUUUCAUACAUAUAUGCGGGGAGCCGAGGAGAUGCAGGAGGCCGAGGAAGGGAACUAGCCUUACGGCAGAGUUUGGGCGUGCACUCCCUGGCUGCUGGAGCUGAACUCCGGCACAUACAUAUUUUUUGUAUAGUCUGAAUUUGUGUGUGUGUUUACAAUGAAUAUGUAUUAUCUAUAACCAGCUUUUAUUUAUUUAUUCAUUUAUUUUUUGCCUUUUUGUCUUAUCUAGGGAUGUACUCAUGGCAUAUGGAGGUUCCUAGGCUAGGGGUCCAAUUGGAGCUGUAGCUGCAGGCCUAUGCCAGAGCCACAGCAACAUGGGAUCUGAGCUGCAUCUGCAACCUACACCACAGCUCAUGGCAAUGCCAGAUCCUUAACCCACUGAGCGAGGCCAGGGAUCAAACCCGAAACCUCAUGGUUUCUAGUUGGAUUUGUUAACCACUGAGCCCUGAUGGGAACUCCAGCUUUUAUUUUGAAAUGGGCAAGCACAGGUGUUGUUCUCCAUGAAUAUAUAACACAACUUUAAUUUUCUUGCUUUAUAUUACACAUGAAGGGAAUAAUCAACAAGAUCCUACUUAGAGCACAGAGAGCUAUAUUCAGUAACUUAUAAUAAACCAUAAUGGAAAAGAAUAUAAAAAGAGUAUGUAUAUCUGUAUAACUGAAUGACUUUGCUGUAUACCAGAAAUUAAUACAACAUUGUAAAUCAACUAUAAUUCAAGAAAAAAUAAAAUUAAAUAAUAAUCUUCUUGCUUUAAAACAACAUACAAAUGUGAAGCUGAGUCACUUAGUUUUUGGAAAUAGAGAAACAGCAGUGGAGAUUUCUUAAACAGAUACCAUUUUACAUUUGAAACUAUAUUAGCUUCCACAUUAAACAAUUACUGGAUGGCACAUAUAUAGAGCCCUCUACACUGACUGAAGAAUUGAAUAAAAUAUUUCAUAAUAGCAACAUCUUUUUUUCCCUCUCGGUCUUGCCAGAUGAAAGAAUGGAUUAUGAGGACUUAUCACCAAUUUUGAGUUUUCUUUCUUAGUACACAUCCCACAUCUUACCCCAUACCGUGUACCUAAUACACUCCAAAUCACAUGUGAGAGAAAAUUACGUUUAGUCACUGGACUGUUUUCAGUCAUGUCUGUAGUCUAGUCUGAACUCAGAGAGAGGUUUUUUUUUUUUUUAACUUAUUUAUUUCCUGCAAUUGUCAAGCCAGAAAAACUCAUGUCAGCAUUUGCCAAAAAGAAGGCACAAAGUAAUCAAAGACUGCUUUUAUUCAAACAUUCAAUAAUAACCAUGUAAUUAUGGAAGCAUUUAAAAUAAUCUCAGGAAAUUCAAGCAAAACCAUUCUUGUAAAAAGGCAUUUGUGCAUAUACACUGUCAUAUACGGAGUUGUCUGCUCAUCGAAGCAGAAUCACAGCCAUUCCAAUAAAUCAUACUGACACACUUUGUUCUAGUCCAGCUUGCAAGAUAGCUGCUUUCACGACAUCCCCAAAUCACAGAACGAGUAGCAGGAUAUAGUCAAAUUACUUUUCUGACAAACAAAAC